UGGCGGUAGGCCUACACGAUGCNAGUCGAACGGCAGCACAGUAAGAGCUUGCUCUUAUGGGUGGCGAGUGGCGGACGGGUGAGGAAUACAUCGGAAUCUACUCUUUCGUGGGGGAUAACGUAGGGAAACUUACGCUAAUACCGCAUACGACCUACGGGUGAAAGCGGAGGACCUUCGGGCUUCGCGCGGUUGAAUGAGCCGAUGUCGGAUUAGCUAGUUGGCGGGGUAAAGGCCCACCAAGGCGACGAUCCGUAGCUGGUCUGAGAGGAUGAUCAGCCACACUGGAACUGAGACACGGUCCAGACUCCUACGGGAGGCAGCAGUGGGGAAUAUUGGACAAUGGGCGCAAGCCUGAUCCAGCCAUGCCGCGUGGGUGAAGAAGGCCUUCGGGUUGUAAAGCCCUUUUGUUGGGAAAGAAAAGCAGUCGGUUAAUACCCGAUUGUUCUGACGGUACCCAAAGAAUAAGCACCGGCUAACUUCGUGCCAGCAGCCGCGGUAAUACGAAGGGUGCAAGCGUUACUCGGNAAUUACUGGGCGUAAAGCGUGCGUAGGUGGUGGUUUAAGUCUGUUGUGAAAGCCCUGGGCUCAACCUGGGAAUUGCAGUGGAUACUGGAUCACUAGAGUGUGGUAGAGGGUAGCGGAAUUCCCGGUGUANCAGUGAAAUGCGNUAGAGAUCGGGGAGGAACAUCCGUGGCGAANGCGGCUACCUGGGACCAACACUGACACUGNGGCACGAAAGCGUGGGGGAGCAAACAGGGAUUANAUACCCUGGUANNCCC
rnacentral:rRNA from 1 species